GAUUGAACGCUGGCGGCAGGCCUAACACAUGCACGUCGAACGGUAACAGGAAGCAGCUUGCUGCUUCGCUGACGAGUGGCGGACGGGUGAGUAAUGUCUGGGAAGCUGCCUGAUGGAGGGGGAUAACUACUGGAAACGGUAGCUAAUACCGCAUAAUGUCGCAAGACCAAAGAGGGGGACCUUCGGGCCUCUUGCCAUCGGAUGUGCCCAGAUGGGAUUAGCUUGUUGGUGGGGUAACGGCUCACCAAGGCGACGAUCCCUAGCUGGUCUGAGAGGAUGACCAGCCACACUGGGACUGAGACACGGUCCAGACUCCUACGGGAGGCAGCAGUGGGGAAUAUUGCACAAUGGGCGCAAGCCUGAUGCAGCCAUGCCGCGUGUAUGAAGAAGGCCUUCGGGUUGUAAAGUACUUUCAGCGGGGAGGAAGGGAGUAAAGUUAAUACCUUUGCUCAUUGACGUUACCCGCAGAAGAAGCACCGGCUAACUCCGUG
rnacentral:rRNA from 1 species